UACGAAGGAUGCAAGCGUUAUCCGGAUUCAUUGGGUUUAAAGGGAGCGUAGGUGGCCUUAUAAGUCAGUGGUGAAAUCUCUGGGCUUAACCCAGAAAUUGCCAUUGAUACUGUAGGGCUUGAGUAUAGUUGCCGUUGGCGGAAUAUGACAUGUAGUGGUGAAAUACAUAGAGAUGUCAUAGAACACCGAUUGCGAAGGCAGCUGAUGAAACUAUAACUGACACUGAGGCUCGAAAGUGUGGGGAUCAAACAGG
rnacentral:rRNA from 1 species